GUACUUGAAAACCUUGGGCUGCUCGAAUCUUUCCCAAGGAAGUUUCUACACAGUUCUACCUCAGAAAACCUGAAGAUACAGAUUUGAAACUCAUAGGAGUCCUGUGAUAAGUCACCUACCUGGAGACCAAAACACAGAUCAGAAAGGCAGGAAGUUGAAGUGGGAAGAGAAGGAAAAGGGAAGACAAGAGGGCUCGGGGAGCUCCUGCUAUCCCUUAGUACUGGAGGGCAGCGAGGGAAACGCUGUGCCAGCCCCGCGGCGGCAGAUGCUUGCCAGGCUUUACCUACCCUUCAAGGUGGGUGGUUUCACCUCAGUUUAUGCACAAAACCUGAAAGAGUAUUCGAAUUGCCCAGGCCUCACAACUAGUAAGGAGGGAACGGAACUGGAGCCCACUGGAACUAUGCUUCUUGACCACACUACACUAGGCCCCCUCGUACACAUAAUCAAGUUUACAACACAAACAACGAAUGCAUAAACAAUCAGUAAUGGAAUCCUGCCAAUAUCCUUUAUCGCGGGCAGAAGAAAAGCCCAUUUUAUUACAAGCCUUGAGUCCUGCAAAAUGAAUGAAGAAGAGAAAUGUCUAACAGGUGUUCGUACCAAGGUUCUUGAUAGGUACGAUGGUGAGGGGUUGACACAUGUUUUUACAGCAAGACCCAGAACGAGAGCAAAAUGGGCCAGUUUGGCCUUAAAUUUGUUGAAUAAACUUGUACCUUACUUGUGGUUGAACUUAGAGAUGCGCUGUGGUUUAAAGAAAUUCGUUCUCCAUUAAGCUGGUCAACCAGUGGCCUGUCAGAUGUAUGCCGCGUGCUUAGCAUGUCCACUUGGAAUGAUGGUGCUGUAGAGCUCAGAAAAGGUCACUGACCUUUUAUAGCAGCGAACAGAGUUGAGGAGAAGGAAGAGAGAGUACAACAGCUUGUUGCGGGAACAAACUUAGCCCUUUUGGAAACUAUAAGAAGAGAAAGGCUAGAGCACAGUGAGUGGCGUGGAAAGCAGGGGAAUGUAAAAUUUGGAGAAGUAGAUGCGGGAACUUCUGAUUCCAACCAAGGUGGAGUAGAACCACUCGAGGCCAUUUCUGCUGUGGUUGUCAAAAACUGGACCAAAUGCAAAGAAGCAAAUACCUAAGAACUCUGAGAAGGAAACACAAGCAGACAGACCGGGAAGGAGGCUUAAGAUUCGGAGAAGCAUCCUAUAUGAGGAUGAUUUGCUUUUAUUUUUUUCUUUCUUUUGUCUUACAGCUUUGUGGCAGGGGUCCAUCCCACUUGAGGGCUGUGCAGCCAUGGAGACACGAGCAGCUGAAACUCUAGGAGAAAUCCACCUGUUAGCCAGAGGAAACCAGGAAAAGUGUCUCCUGUUGGCCAGAGAGUGUGGGUUAAGGGAAGGAGGAAAAUCCCGAACGGGGAGAGCUGGGAUGGGGGACCCUCUCAUUGUGUAUACGAACUUCUCCAAGUCCUGAGCUCAGUCCGGAGCGGGCGUGCUCAAGACAGACCUAAAGAACCAUAGCAAAGUCUACAAAAAAAUGAAAAUGAGAUGGGAACCACCACCAACAGAAGGUGAUAGAGAAUUUGUGGUCUGAGCCUGACUGUGUUGGUUACUUGCUUAAACAAACAAACAAACAAACCAGUAAAUAAAAUGUUUUUCAGAAAAAUGUACCCAAAGGAUACAACCCAGUAUCCAAAAUUGCUUAAGAAGGAAGAACCAGGAUAAUGUAACCCAUUUCCAAGGGAAAAGUCCAUCAAGAGAUGCCAGCCACGAGGUUCAGGCUUUGGACCGGCUCAGGCCACCGGGCUGAUUCUUGGUGUCACCGUUCACCAGCCCUGUGACCUGCCUCCCCCUCGCAGAGCCUCCGGCUCUUCAGUCUGAAGCAGGAGAGCUGCGUGUGCCACCAUAUUUUGAAGAAGCUUCCGGGUCACUCUCAGUUCAGGCCUCCCGGUGAUCUGAGUCCUCGCAGUAUGAGUAGGGGGAAGUGUGUGUCCGCCCUGACCCGCAGGAGUCUGCCACUGAGGGCUGGGCCAUGAGCAGAGGGGCUUCUCCUCAUCCAGAGCUCCCUGGCAAACCCGGCCUCCUCCUGGGUCCGGCUCUCUCCUGCUCCACAAACCUUCUCUGCCUGCGCUUUCUGUCCCUCCCACUUCCCCCGUUCUCCCUCAGCCCUACCCCGGCCUUUUCCUAAAUAAAUAAAGACUCUCAACUUCCUGCCCUUCUAUCAACAACCCACACUCUCCCUCUUUCAAUCUGCUUCCCUGUGAUGCAAAAGGAAAAACCCUCUUCCUCUUGUGUAAGGCCAGCUUUUUUACUGCGCUCCUUGUCCUCCCUUUCUUGGGACCUAGGUCAUGUCUUCUUGAAUUAUCUCUUUUUCAUCUCAUUUUUGACAUUUUAAUCUCCUUUGGGUCAUUUCUUAGAGCCUAUUAGAUAUCCUAUUCUUCCCGCUCUUUUUUUUUUUUUUUUUUUUAGUAAAAGGAGAAAAAGAAAACCUUUAUCUUGCAUUCUACUUACAUAGCACUCUCUUUAUUUUGUAUUUUUUUUUAUUUCUUUAAAUCUAUUUUUUGUUGACGUAGAGUUGACACACUGUGACGUUACUUUCAAGUACACAACAUAGUGAUUUGACGUCUCUAUACUGAUGCUAUGCUCACCACACGUGUCACUACCAUCUGUCACCACAGAAUGCUAUUACAAUAUCAGUGGCUAUAUUCCCUAUGCUCUGCCUCAUAUUCCCAUGACUUACUCAUUCCAUGACUAGAAGCUGUGUCUCCCACCUCCCUUCACCCAUUUUGCCCAUUCCCCAUCCCCCUUUUCUCUCUUUUUAAAAAUCAAGUUAAAAAAGAAGAAUCUACCCUUGUUUUGACUUCCUCAUAUCUCACUCACUCACAUUUCUAUUUCUAGUACUUACCAUAUUAAUUGAGUUACAAAGGCACGUUCAAGAAUCACCUGUAGAAUAAUACACCGAUUUAGAACUACUCCGGACCUCACGCAAUCAUCAAUCAAGUCAAAGAGGAUGGAGGGCUGUUUCAUGUGAGCGGAUGUAUCAAGAGUGGUUACCAAGCCAACAGCAAACUGAUGUGGAGAAUUGCCUUCCUACAACAGAGAAUGAAAUAUGGAAGUCAACCAACAAAGACAAAUUAGCCCAGUGCAGUGGGACCCGGGGGCAGACUCUGGCCUCAGUUCUUUCCAGUCUUCUGUAGACUUCUUUUGGAAUGGUUUUGAGAACACAAGUCAGCUCUCCAGCUGGAUCUACUCAUCUCUCUUUCUGUGCUUUUACCCAUGGUGCCCUCAUCCAUUCACGUGAUGUGGGACACCUUCCGUAACCCGAGGACUCCCAAAUUGAUAUUUCUAUCCAAGAUUUCCCUUCAAAGUCCCAAGCUUGUCUAUUUUUCAAAUGGCAUCACAAUUGUGUCCCAAACCCGACUCCUGAUUCUCACCCUUAAACCUGUUUCUCUGCUGAGAGCGUGGCAUUAUCCACUCCAUUGCUUGAACCUAAAGCCUAGCAAUUUCUUCCUCUUAUUUAAUGAAACCCUCUAUGCCACAUUUGAUCCAGUUCACUUAAUCCAAAAUUCCAAUUCCAAAAAUACAUCUUGAAUCCUUUUGCCAAUAUCUGAACUACUGUGACUUCUCAUUCGGAUCACUGACUUUGCAUCCUAACAGACUUGUUUUCCACCUUGUGCUUCCCAGGAGCAGCCACGGUAGAUCUAAAGUCUCAGUCAGACCAUGCACUCCUUUCCUUGAACAUCUUAGUAACUUCUUAUAGCAUCUCCCAGGACAUCCAAGCCUGGGAGUGACCUGGUUUUGUCCAUCUCUUUCACUUUAGAUUCUGUAGAGUGAUUAGGACAGAGAAGAGCAAGAGCGUUCCCAGCCUCAGGGCAUUUGCACCUGCUGUGCUUCAUACCUGCCUAUUUCACACCUAUCCUUUCUUUAUCUGGAUUGCUCAUUUUCAUCUUCCAAGUCUCAUCUUAACUGUCACUUCCCAGGAGGUCUAGCGCAUCACCCAGUGAAAGGCAGACUCCUCCCCCUUUGGUAUUCUCUCUUGAAGGACACCCUUCUUUUUCUUUGAUAGCUUGCCCCAGUUCAUACUGGAUAUUUGGUUUCUUGCUUGUUUAUAGUCUCAUUCACAGCAGGGAAUGGGACUGGAAGCCACUCCUAGGAUUUUUUUUUCCCUUUCACCAUUUUCCUUCUGGUGCCUGACAUGUGGAGAUCUUCUACUAAUAUAUUUUUCAAUUAAGUGAAUGACUUAAAAAAUAAGCAAACAUCAAUAGAACAAGACAGAAAUGAGAUAGAUUAAAAAAUUCUGCCGCAGAGAGAAUUAGAGGAUCGCCAUAGCUUUUGAAACCAGGGGAUGAAAGCAUUUCAGGAAAGAGGGAAAUCCCAGGGAGCAUUCGCUUAAUGCUCUCAGGGCACUGGGAGAAAUCAUGAAUUCUUACAGAAGAGCUAAAAGAUGUUAUGGUAAGACAACAAAAUGGGAGAGAAAGGGAAAUGCAAGGGGAUGGUAGGACCGUGGCAGAAACUGCAACAGCAUUGGAAGCAACAAGGAGCAAUGUCGCCGCUGCAGAGAAUAAGGUCAGUUCAGUGAAAGGCGAGUGUAAGGCGCUCUGAGAACACAGAGGAAAAGGACAAGGAGAACAGAGAACUGGAAGGAACAUCCCGGACCUGCAACGGGUAGACAAAAAAGAAAGGUGCAACGUGGAUCAAUGGCGGUCCUAACAGGGAGAGAGGAAAGGGAGCAAGGCUGCUUCUGAACUCAAGAAAGGUCCAGAUACGCCCGUGCAUGAAUUCAUGACAAAAUUGACAGCACCUGGAAACAGCUCGGUGACUUUCUUGAAUUCAGGCUUACGGAAUUACUUACUUACACUUUGCCGAGCAGAGUCCUACUUGUGAUGGGAACAUGAGCUUUGGGUGGGCAGGGGUCUGUGCA